rnacentral:tRNA from 1 species
UGGCUCAGUUGGUAAAGAAUCUGCCUGCAAUGCAGGAAACCCAGGUUCAAUCCCUGG